UCGUGUCUCAUACAAUAAAUAAAAUUCGGAACGUGAUGCCUGGACAGGAGAGCCACAGAGGCGGAGCAGGGGAACGGUGACGAGCAGCCAGGACCCAAGUGCAGCUGUCCUGCCUCCCAGGCCGAGUACCUUCCCGUCUGGGUUUGAUGCUGCUGUUUGAGUUUGUUCUAUUUCAUUUUUCUGCACUUCUUUAAUAUUUCUCUGUCUUCUGGCUUUGCAAGCUAGGUGUGGUGGCACACACCGGUGAUCCCAGCCCUCUGGGGUGCCGUCAGGAAGAGGAUCACAAGUUCAAGCCUAGCCUGGUCAAAUUAGCAACUCAGUGACACCCUGUCUCAAAUUUUUUAAAAGGAAGAGGACUGGGGAUGUAGUUCAGUGUGAAAGAUCCUGGGUUCAGUCCCCCUACAAUAUGUGUGUGUGUGUGUGUGUGUGUGUGUGUUUAUAUUCUCCUAAGAUCUUUUCUAAAUUCAUCAGUGGCAAAGAACGCAGGCCGCAGAAUUGCCUCUCACUGCUUUCCCUCUUAGGCUGCGGCCUUCACUCAAGCUGCUCCCAGGUGAGCUCCCUUAAGAUUCGGAGGGUUUAAAUGUAGGCACGAAGGCUCUGCAGUGUGCAUUUGCUGGGUGGGGCAUGGAGGCUGCUGGGUGAUGGCAGAGAUCAGAGAGCCACUCUGUCAAGACAGCCCUCCAAGGAGGAGCAAGGAUCUCUGCCUCCAGCUUCUACUGAACCAUCUGGCCUAAAAUCUCUUUCCUUGAGAAUAUGAACAAGCUCUCCUUGAGAAAUGUCACGUCAUGGGCAGCACAGAGAACAUGGUCCUUCAAAUAUUCCUAUCCGGCCAUGCACCACGUGAUAAUGUUUUGUUCAAUGACAGACCACGUAUACACAUGGCGCCCUAAGGUUCUAUCACCUAUGAUGUGUAACCAUCUUGGUUUAUGCAAGUACACUCUGCAGGGCCUGCCCAGCAACCACCAAAUCACCUUAGACAUAUUUCUCGGGACAUACCCUGGCUUUAGACAAUGCCCAGCUGUACAUGUGCCGUGAAGGCCAGAGUACCUGCCUCACAUACUCGCCAGGACCGUGGUGAGAGAGAGACAGGAAAAGCCAAGCAAAGAUCUGCCUGCAAAUCAACACCAGAGACAAUGCCAAGCUGAAGGCUGAGGGGGUCACUACUCGGGGCCGAGCCCCUGGGGACGGUGGGGCCUCUUCGGAGCCUGGAGACCUCUAUGACAUCCACACCCCCCAGCCCAGCCCCGCCGGCUGCCCCAUUACAAGUCUGAAACCUACCGAAAUGCUCCUGCUGAGCCUCUUUUUAAUUAAGCACACACACAAAAAGAAGCACCCCUGGGUUUUGUCUGUUCUACUUUUGUUCCCGGGUCUGUUUGUACUUAUUCAGAAAUUACAUAAUUAAAAAAAUAAUAUUAAGUAAGUGGGCACAUCAGCCCGUCAAGCCGCCUGGGCCAACCUUCACCAGGGAAACACAGCGACAGCCCCUUCAAUUCUUCUCCUUGUUUUUAAGCACAAAAUAUGUCACACCUGGAAGUAAUUAGCAUAAUUUUUACUAAUUUAUAUCUAAUUACACAAUUACUUUUCUACGAA
rnacentral:lncRNA from 1 species